UAAGUGAGAACACUCCUUGCCCUCACUUUGAAAAUCACGGCACUUGCUCCUUCCUCCUUUCCUCUUUCUCUCCUCCCCUUCCCUUGUGUGCCGCCAGCUGCUGGCCAGCAACCGGCCGUCCACCGCCACCCAAAAACUUCCCCUCUCCUCCCUGUGACGCCAGAUAACUCCCACCAGCAGCCAUCCACUGUGCCUCCAGCAGGAGCAAGCACAGGCGGCUCUCCCUCCACCAUACACACGUGGGCCACCACCACCACACAAGAACCACCAUCUCUUGGUCCAUUUCUUAAUUUAACCCUUUGUUCCCAGUUCUUAAGAGGAAGGUAGAACUUUAGUUGGUGAUUUUUUUGGUGGUUUGGUCGUGCAGUGACGCUUACAGCGAGAGAAUCAUAGACAGACGUAGCAGGUAUUGGAGCUGCUUUUGCAUUGCUUUGCAUUUGCGGAGAGUGACGAGGGCGAAGCAUAACCUGUGUCUUCCCGUUAUCUUUUGAUUUUGUAGUUCUUAUUUAUCUUUAGUAAACUUUGGUUGUAUACUUUUUGUUAUGAGGUCUUGUGGCCUCCUUUGUAUAUUUGUGUUUCCGUUGCAUAGUUUAUAACUUCGUAUGGUUUCAAAGAGUCAAGUCAUUUUAAAACACAAGCGUUGACAUUGAAAUCACGAUUCAUGCUUGGCAUAUUGAUUUGAGAAACCGACCAUAAAUCAUACCACCGUGGUGUGAGAUUUAAAAGGCAAUGAUGCCUUAGAUUAAUUUAAUGUUUUAUUGUGCUAAUUGCUCUAUUACAUGUUCGAGUUUUAGUAGAGAUGUUGCCGAAAUUUCCCUCACCUUUUUAAAGUUAAUCAUUAACGGU